UAACGAUGAAGAGUUUGAUCCUGGCUCAGGAUGAACGCUAGCGGCAGGCCUAACACAUGCAAGUCGAACGGUAACAGGAAAUAGCUUGCUAUUUUGCUGACGAGU
rnacentral:rRNA from 1 species